UAGGAAAUUUGAGAGGAGCUGUUCCUAGUACGAGAGGACCGGAAUGGACAUACCUCUGGUGUACCAGUUAUCAUGCCAAUGGUAAACGCUGGGUAGCUAUGUAUGGAAGGGAUAACCGCUGAAAGCAUCUAAGUGGGAAGCCUCCCUCAAGAUUAGAUUUCCCAUCCCUUUAUGGGAGUAAGACCCCUCAAAGAGAAUGAGGUUGAUAGGCUAGGUGUGUAAGCAUAGUAAUAUGUUCAGCAGACUAGUACUAAUAGGUCGAGGGCUUGAUCUUA
rnacentral:rRNA from 1 species